CGGCGAACGGGUGAGGAAUGCAUGGGUAACCUACCCUCGAGUGGGGAAUAACUAGCCGAAAGGUUAGCUAAUACCGCAUACGUUUCCGGGACUUAGGUUCCGGAAAGAAAGCAAUACCGUGGGUAUUGCGCUCAUGGAUGGGCUCAUNNNNUAUCAGCUUGUUGGUGAGGUAACGGCUCACCAAGGCUUCGACGGGUAGCUGGUCUGAGAGGACGAUCAGCCACACUGGCACUGCGACACGGGCCAGACUCCUACGGGAGGCAGCAGUAAGGAAUAUUGCGCAAUGGACGAAAGUCUGACGCAGCGACGCCGCGUGGGGGAUGAAGGUCUUCGGAUUGUAAACCCCUUUCGGGAGGGAAGAUGGAGUGGGUAACCACUUGGACGGUACCUCCAGAAGCAGCCACGGCUAACUUCGUGCCAGCAGCCGCGGUAAUACGAAGGUGGCAAGCGUUGUUCGGAUUCACUGGGCGUACAGGGAGCGUAGGCGGUUGGGUAAGCCCUCCGUGAAAUCUCCGGGCCUAACCCGGAAAGUGCAGAGGGGACUGCUUAGCUAGAGGAUGGGAGAGGAGCGCGGAAUUCCCGGUGUAGCGGUGAAAUGCGUAGAGAUCGGGAGGAAGGCCGGUGGCGAAGGCGGCGCUCUGGAACAUUUCUGACGCUGAGGCUCGAAAGCGUGGGGAGCAAACAGGAUUAGAUACCCCGGUAGUCCACGCCUUAAACUAUGGAUACUAAGUGUCGGCGGUUUACCGCCGGUGCCGCAGCUAACGCAAUAAGUAUCCCGCCUGGGAAGUACGGCCGCAAGGUUGAAACUCAAAGGAAUUGACGGGGGCCCGCAC
rnacentral:rRNA from 1 species